rnacentral:rRNA from 1 species
AUUGAACGCUGGCGGCGUGCUUAACACAUGCAAGUCGUGCGGUAACAGGCGUAGCAAUACGUGCUGACGAGCGGCGAACGGGUGCGUAAUACAUGGGAAUCUGCCCUUUGGUGGGGAAUAACCCGGCGAAAGCCGGGCUAAUGCCGCAUAAGAUCUUCGGAUGAAAGCGGGGGAUCGUAAGACCUCGCGCCGAUGGAUGAGCCCAUGUCGGAUUAGCUAGUUGGGAGGUAACGGCUCACCAAGGCGACGAUCCGUAGCUGGUCUGAGAGGACGGCCAGCCACACUGGGACUGAGACACGGCCCAGACUCCUACGGGAGGCAGCAGUGGGGAAUAUUGGACAACGGGCGAAAGCCUGAUCCAGCGACGCCGCGUGGGUGAAGAAGGCCCUGCGGGUUGUAAAGCCCUUUCAGUGGGGAAGAAAGCCUCGACCUAACACGUCGGGGUCUUGACGUAACCCAUAGAAGAAGCACCGGCUAACUCUGUGCCAGCAGCCGC